AGCGUACACGGUGGAUGCCCUGGCAGUCAGAGGCGAUGAAGGACGUGCUAAUCUGCGAUAAGCGUCGGUGAGGUGAUAUGAACCGUUAUAACCGGCGAUUUCCGAAUGGGGAAACCCAGUGUGAUUCGUCACACUAUCAUUAACUGAAUCCAUAGGUUAAUGAGGCGAACCGGGGGAACUGAAACAUCUAAGUACCCCGAGGAAAAGAAAUCAACCGAGAUUCCCCCAGUAGCGGCGAGCGAACGGGGAGGAGCCCAGAGCCUGAAUCAGUGUGUGUGUUAGUGGAAGCGUCUGGAAAGGCGCGCGAUACAGGGUGACAGCCCCGUACACAAAAAUGCACAUAUUGUGAGCUCGAUGAGUAGGGCGGGACACGUGGUAUCCUGUCUGAAUAUGGGGGGACCAUCCUCCAAGGCUAAAUACUCCUGACUGACCGAUAGUGAACCAGUACCGUGAGGGAAAGGCGAAAAGAACCCCGGCGAGGGGAGUGAAAAAGAACCUGAAACCGUGUACGUACAAGCAGUGGGAGCCUCUUAAUGGGGUGACUGCGUACCUUUUGUAUAAUGGGUCAGCGACUUAUAUUCUGUAGCAAGGUUAACCGAAUAGGGGAGCCGAAGGGAAACCGAGUCUUAACUGGGCGUUAAGUUGCAGGGUAUAGACCCGAAACCCGGUGAUCUAGCCAUGGGCAGGUUGAAGGUUGGGUAACACUAACUGGAGGACCGAACCGACUAAUGUUGAAAAAUUAGCGGAUGACUUGUGGCUGGGGGUGAAAGGCCAAUCAAACCGGGAGAUAGCUGGUUCUCCCCGAAAGCUAUUUAGGUAGCGCCUCGUGAAUUCAUCUCCGGGGGUAGAGCACUGUUUCGGCAAGGGGGUCAUCCCGACUUACCAACCCGAUGCAAACUGCGAAUACCGGAGAAUGUUAUCACGGGAGACACACGGCGGGUGCUAACGUCCGUCGUGAAGAGGGAAACAACCCAGACCGCCAGCUAAGGUCCCAAAGUCAUGGUUAAGUGGGAAACGAUGUGGGAAGGCCCAGACAGCCAGGAUGUUGGCUUAGAAGCAGCCAUCAUUUAAAGAAAGCGUAAUAGCUCACUGGUCGAGUCGGCCUGCGCGGAAGAUGUAACGGGGCUAAACCAUGCACCGAAGCUGCGGCAGCGACACUAUGUGUUGUUGGGUAGGGGAGCGUUCUGUAAGCCUGUGAAGGUGGCCUGUGAGGGUUGCUGGAGGUAUCAGAAGUGCGAAUGCUGACAUAAGUAACGAUAAAGCGGGUGAAAAGCCCGCUCGCCGGAAGACCAAGGGUUCCUGUCCAACGUUAAUCGGGGCAGGGUGAGUCGACCCCUAAGGCGAGGCCGAAAGGCGUAGUCGAUGGGAAACAGGUUAAUAUUCCUGUACUUGGUGUUACUGCGAAGGGGGGACGGAGAAGGCUAUGUUGGCCGGGCGACGGUUGUCCCGGUUUAAGCGUGUAGGCUGGUUUUCCAGGCAAAUCCGGAAAACCAAGGCUGAGGCGUGAUGACGAGGCACUACGGUGCUGAAGCGACAAAUGCCCUGCUUCCAGGAAAAGCCUCUAAGCAUCAGGUAACAUCAAAUCGUACCCCAAACCGACACAGGUGGUCAGGUAGAGAAUACCAAGGCGCUUGAGAGAACUCGGGUGAAGGAACUAGGCAAAAUGGUGCCGUAACUUCGGGAGAAGGCACGCUGAUAUGUAGGUGAAGCGACUUGCUCGUGGAGCUGAAAUCAGUCGAAGAUACCAGCUGGCUGCAACUGUUUAUUAAAAACACAGCACUGUGCAAACACGAAAGUGGACGUAUACGGUGUGACGCCUGCCCGGUGCCGGAAGGUUAAUUGAUGGGGUUAGCGGUAACGCGAAGCUCUUGAUCGAAGCCCCGGUAAACGGCGGCCGUAACUAUAACGGUCCUAAGGUAGCGAAAUUCCUUGUCGGGUAAGUUCCGACCUGCACGAAUGGCGUAAUGAUGGCCAGGCUGUCUCCACCCGAGACUCAGUGAAAUUGAACUCGCUGUGAAGAUGCAGUGUACCCGCGGCAAGACGGAAAGACCCCGUGAACCUUUACUAUAGCUUGACACUGAACAUUGAGCCUUGAUGUGUAGGAUAGGUGGGAGGCUUUGAAGUGUGGACGCCAGUCUGCAUGGAGCCGACCUUGAAAUACCACCCUUUAAUGUUUGAUGUUCUAACGUGGGCCCCUGAUCGGGGUUGCGGACAGUGUCUGGUGGGUAGUUUGACUGGGGCGGUCUCCUCCUAAAGAGUAACGGAGGAGCACGAAGGUUGGCUAAUCCUGGUCGGACAUCAGGAGGUUAGUGCAAUGGCAUAAGCCAGCUUGACUGCGAGCGUGACGGCGCGAGCAGGUGCGAAAGCAGGUCAUAGUGAUCCGGUGGUUCUGAAUGGAAGGGCCAUCGCUCAACGGAUAAAAGGUACUCCGGGGAUAACAGGCUGAUACCGCCCAAGAGUUCAUAUCGACGGCGGUGUUUGGCACCUCGAUGUCGGCUCAUCACAUCCUGGGGCUGAAGUAGGUCCCAAGGGUAUGGCUGUUCGCCAUUUAAAGUGGUACGCGAGCUGGGUUUAGAACGUCGUGAGACAGUUCGGUCCCUAUCUGCCGUGGGCGCUGGAGAACUGAGGGGGGCUGCUCCUAGUACGAGAGGACCGGAGUGGACGCAUCACUGGUGUUCGGGUUGUCAUGCCAAUGGCACUGCCCGGUAGCUAAAUGCGGAAGAGAUAAGUGCUGAAAGCAUCUAAGCACGAAACUUGCCCCGAGAUGAGUUCU
rnacentral:rRNA from 1 species